rnacentral:rRNA from 1 species
UGGACGCUACGGCAGGCCUAACACAUGCAAGUCGAGGGGUAGAGUUCUUCGGAACUUGAGACCGGCGCACGGGUGCGUAACGCGUAUGCAAUCUACCUUGUACAGGGGAAUAGCCCAGAGAAAUUUGGAUUAAUGCCCCAUAGUAUUACCGAAAUCGCAUGGUUUUGUAAUUAAAGUUCCAACGGUACAAGAUGAGCAUGCGUCCCAUUAGUUAGUUGGUAAGGUAACGGCUUACCAAGACAAUGAUGGGUAGGGGUCCUGAGAGGGAGAUCCCCCACACUGGUACUGAGACACGGACCAGACUCCUACGGGAGGCAGCAGUGAGGAAUAUUGGUCAAUGGGCGCAAGCCUGAACCAGCCAUGCCGCGUGCAGGAAGACGGUCCUAUGGAUUGUAAACUGCUUUUAUACAGGAAGAAACACCUCCACGUGUGGAGGCUUGACGGUACUGUAGGAAUAAGGAUCGGCUAACUCCGUGCCAGCAGCCCGCGGUAAUACGGAGGAUCCAAGCGUUAUCCGGAAUCAUUGGGUUUAAAGGGUCCGUAGGCGGUCUUAUAAGUCAGUGGUGAAGCCUCGUCACAUGGA